rnacentral:lncRNA from 1 species
GAAUGGAAUAAAAUCUUCCUUUAGUACAAAAAUAUUUUAACAUCAUAGAUGUAUCAUUACCUUCAUUAGCUGACUGUAAAUGGCACAUUUGCCCAAGAAUAUCAAAAUUUCAAAUCUACACAGGACAUUCUUUGACAGAGCGCAGAAUAGAGUAAAUAUUUGGGAGAGUGUUUCCCUAAAUAUUUUACUAUGUGCAGCUUAUUUCAUCUUGGAAGUUAACAAUAAUUAACAGAAUGCACCAGGUAUAGCAUCAUAUGUGUAUAUAAAGUAUCAGCACACAUGAAUGAAUUGAGACAUGUUUAGUGAUCCAAUGUAUUGUGUUCAAAGAUUCCAUCCAACAGUUAAAAGACAUGUCAUAGCAGUGGAACAAAUGGUGGCAAAUGAUGGCUUUGUGGUGGUUAGUGAAAAACUGUGGCAAUCUACAUUGGUGGUGGCAAACACUGACAGAAAAUUUCUGGACCAGCAGUGACAUUAAGUUGAAAAUAAUGACAUACUUUACACUGUAUUGAAGAUGUAAUUGCGAAAAUUAUUUAAUAAAAAACGUUAUGGCUAUCAGUGGAAAACAUCGAUAUACUACAAUAAGAGUGAAACUGACAUUUUAACACUAUUGUUUGUACUAUUAUACAUCACCUAGUUCAAAAUUCAUAAGCAUUUUUGUUAUAUUAUAGACUUUUGGCAUUGAAAAACAUAGUUAUUUAAAGACCUAAAUAAUAUCGUUAUUGUUCUAAAUUAGUUAAAAUGCUGACUGAUUUAAGAACAAUCAAAAUAAAAGGUUUA